rnacentral:lncRNA from 1 species
GGAAAUUGAAAUAUGAAAACUUAAUCUCUGCAAAACCACUGUUAAAUGUGCCACUCUCUUUCAGGUUGACGUUGAGGUAUUAAAAAAGAGAGCAGAACGUUUUGGCAUGAAUGUCUCUUCAGUUUCUAAAAAGGUACCCUUUUUUUCAUAUUUAAAAAAAAAGCUUACAAAUGACAAGUAAUGUACAGAGCUAACAUUAGGAAAUUAGCUAUUUUAAUGUUUUGUUGCCUAUUUUGUGUGUUCACAGAUUGAGGAUGAUGAAAAGCUUAAGAAGAGAAAGGAGAGAUUUGGCAAUGUCACAAGUGCAGCGUCUUCUGGAGCCAAUGAUACAGAGGCAAAGAAGCGAAAACGUGCGGAGCGGUUUGGAAAUGUAUAAAAAUGGUUCUUACCCUUGUAUUUUUAUUCAUUUUUUUUAAGUGUUCUUUGCGGUUCAUUUUGAUAAGCUUGUAAUCCCUGUAGUGCCAUGGUUGUUUAUCUGCUAUUUACAUUAAAAGUACCCCAGUUCCUUACUAGUUUCUCUUUUGUCUUUCUUUCUUGAUAUGCUUGAUAGAUGAUUUGAAUUUGGCUUCGGGGUGUGUGGGUCCUUAAGGUAUUAAUAUGCAUCCUUCAGAAGUAGAUCAGGAAAGGUGUACCUAGAGGUAUAACGAUAUGGACUGAUGUAUGGAAUUACAUUUGCAUUGAUACAUUUCAAUAGUGUAAAAAAAUUGUAUUGAAG